rnacentral:rRNA from 1 species
GCAGUCGACGGUGAAGAGGAGCUUGCUCCUUGGAUCAGUGGCGAACGGGUGAGUAACACGUGAGCAAUCUGCCCUUGACUCUGGGAUAACUGCGGGAAACUGUAGCUAAUACCGGAUAUUACCUUGGAAGGCAUCUUCUGGGGUGGAAAGAAUUUUGGUCAAGGAUGAGCUCGCGGCCUAUCAGCUAGUUGGUGAGGUAAUGGCUCACCAAGGCGACGACGGGUAGCCGGCCUGAGAGGGUGACCGGCCACACUGGGACUGAGACACGGCCCAGACUCCUACGGGAGGCAGCAGUGGGGAAUAUUGCACAAUGGGCGCAAGCCUGAUGCAGCAACGCCGCGUGAGGGACGACGGCCUUCGGGUUGUAAACCUCUUUUAGUAGGGAAGAAGCGACUGGGUUUUCCUGGGAGUGACGGUACCUGCAGAAAAAGCACCGGCUAACUACGUGCCAGCAGCCGCGGUAAUACGUAGGGUGCAAGCGUUGUCCGGAAUUAUUGGGCGUAAAGAGCUCGUAGGCGGUUUGUCGCGUCUGCUGUGAAAACCCGAGGCUCAACCUCGGGCCUGCAGUGGGUACGGGCAGACUAGAGUGCGGUAGGGGAGAUUGGAAUUCCUGGUGUAGCGGUGGAAUGCGCAGAUAUCAGGAGGAACACCAAUGGCGAAGGCAGAUCUCUGGGCCGUAACUGACGCUGAGGAGCGAAAGCAUGGGGAG